ensembl:lncRNA
GGAAGGCAAAUUUGACUUUGUGUUUUGUCGCUCUGGGGUAAAACAGGAAGGAUAGGGUCCCCUGAGCCAGGAUCGGUGACAGCUGCGGAUCUUGCCUCUCUCCGCGCUCAGAAAUGCAGUGCUCUGUCGCCACCUGGUGGGAGGAGCAGAUAAUACGAGGGGUGGCCCCUUCGGAUGCGACCACUCACCCUACCACAGAGAGAAUGUUCCCAUUCCAACCCAGAGGAAGAGGCAUCAAUGGCCUGCAUGGUGUUGUGGAACCCACAGUGACUCUCCAUACAGACUGUCCCUGAGGUACAGAAGGAUGAGGGCCCUGGGAGAGGCCACAGAGGGGGACAGGCCACCUUGCCAGCCAACUGGAGUGAAAC